GACGAACCGUGCGAACGUUGUUCGGAAUCACUGGGCUUAAAGGGCGCGUAGGCGGACUGCCGAGUCCGGGGUGAAAUCCUCCGGCUUAACCGGAGAAUUGCCUGGGAUACUGGCGGUCUUGAGGGAGGUAGGGGCACGCGGAACUUCCGGUGGAGCGGUGAAAUGCGUUGAUAUCGGAAGGAACGCCGGUGGCGAAAGCGGCGUGCUGGCCCUCUUCUGACGCUGAGGCGCGAAAGCCAGGGGAGCGAACGGG
rnacentral:rRNA from 1 species